UACGUAGGUGGCAAGCGUUAUCCGGAUUUACUGGGUGUAAAGGGCGUGUAGGCGGGGACGCAAGUCAGAUGUGAAAACCACGGGCUCAACCUGUGGCCUGCAUUUGAAACUGUGUUUCUUGAGUACUGGAGAGGCAGACGGAAUUCCUAGUGUAGCGGUGAAAUGCGUAGAUAUUAGGAGGAACACCAGUGGCGAAGGUGGUCUGCUGGACAGCAACUGACGCUGAGGCGCGAAAGCGUGGGGAGCAAACAGG
rnacentral:rRNA from 1 species